AUACGUAGGGGGCGAGCGUUAUCCGGAUUUAUUGGGCGUAAAGCGUGUGUAGGCGGUUUGUUAAGUUUAAGAUUAAAGCCCGAGGCUUAACCUCGGUUCGUCUUAAAAACUGGCAGACUUGAGUGCAGUAGAGGCAAGUGGAAUUUCUAGUGUAGCGGUUAAAUGCGUAGAUAUUAGAAGGAACACCAGUGGCGAAGGCGGCUUGCUGGGCUGUUACGGACGCUGAGACACGAAAGCGUGGGGAGCAAAUAGGAUUAGAUACCCUAGUAGUCCACGCCGUAAACGAUGAAUACUAGGUGUAGGGGGUAUCGACUCCCUCUGUGCCGCAGUUAACACAAUAAGUAUUCCGCCUGGGGAGUACGGCCGCAAGGUUGAAACUCAAAGGAAUUGACGGGG
rnacentral:rRNA from 1 species